AUGCGGGGGGUUUUGAUGCGAGAUGAGACUGAGGAUACAUUUAAAUGGAUUUUCGAUGAAUUUGUGAAGAUGAUGGGUGGUAAAAAACCAAUUACAAUUUUAACAGUAAGAGCAAUGGAAAAGGUGAUCAAGGAGGCUUAUCCCGAUUCGACACAUCGCUGGUGCAAAUGGCACGCCCUGAAGAAGGCUAAAGAAAACCUGGGUGCUCAUUACACCAAGAAGUCAGAUUUCAGGGCUGAAUUCCAUAAGUUUGUUCAUGAGAUGCUGACUAUUGGUGAAUUUGAAGACGGCUGGGCAGCACUGCUUGACAGAUAUUCACUGAAAAACAAUCCAUAUCUCACGCAGAUAUACGAGACUAGGUAG
rnacentral:rRNA from 1 species